CUGGGCUUGACAUGCACCCGCACCGCUCGUUACAGAGCGUGCCCGCAAGGGACGAGUGCACAGGUGCUGCAUGGCUGUCGUCAGCUCGUGUCGUGAGAUGUUGGGUUAAGUCCCGCAACGAGCGCAACCCUUGUCCUCGGUUACUGGUGUCCGAGGAGACUGCCGCACAAAAGCGGAGGAAGGUGGGGAUGACGUCAAGUCAGCACGGCCCUUACGUCCUGGGCUACACACACGCUACAAUGGCCGCGACAAAGAGUUGCCAACCAGCGAUGGGGAGCUAAUCUCGACAAACGCGGUCUCAGUUCGGAUGAGAGGCUGCAACCCGCCUCUCUGAAGCCGGAGUUGCUAGUAACCGUGUGUCAGCAUAGCACGGUGAAUCCGUUCCC
rnacentral:rRNA from 1 species